CUUGGUGGCCAUGGCGAGGGGUUAAACACCCGAUCCCAUCCCGAACUCGGACGUGAAAACCCUCAGCGCCGAUGGUACUGCGUCUUAAGGCGUGGGAGAGUAGGUCGCCGCCAAGU
rnacentral:rRNA from 1 species